rnacentral:rRNA from 1 species
AGAGUUUGAUCCUGGCUCAGGAUGAACGCUGGCGGUAUGCUUAACACAUGCAAGUCGAACGGGAUCUUAGGAUCUAGUGGCGGACGGGUGAGUAACGCGUGAGAAUCUGGCUUCAGGUCGGGGACAACAGUUGGAAACGACUGCUAAUACCGGAUGUGCCGAAAGGUGAAAGAUUUAUUGCCUGAAGAUGAGCUCGCGUCUGAUUAGCUAGUUGGUAGUGUAAGAGACUACCAAGGCGACGAUCAGUAGCUGGUCUGAGAGGAUGAUCAGCCACACUGGGACUGAGACACGGCCCAGACUCCUACGGGAGGCAGCAGUGGGGAAUUUUCCGCAAUGGGCGAAAGCCUGACGGAGCAAUACCGCGUGAGGGAGGAAGGCUCUUGGGUCGUAAACCUCUUUUCUCAGGGAAGAAAAGAAUGACGGUACCUGAGGAAUAAGCAUCGGCUAACUCCGUGCCAGCAGCCGCGGUAAUACGGAGGAUGCAAGCGUUAUCCGGAAUGAUUGGGCGUAAAGGGUCCGCAGGUGGAACUGAAAGUCUGCUGUUAAAGAAUCUGGCUCAACCAGAUAAAAGCAGUGGAAACUACAGAACUAGAGUACGUUCGGGGCAGAAGGAAUUCCUAGUGUAGCGGUGAAAUGCGUAGAUAUUAGGAAGAACACCGGUGGCGAAAGCGUUCUGCUAGGCCGUAACUGACACUGAGGGACGAAAGCUAGGGGAGCGAAUGGGAUUAGAUACCCCAGUAGUCCUAGCUGUAAACGAUGGAUACUAGGCGUGGCUUGUAUCGACCCGAGCCGUGCCGUAGCUAACGCGUUAAGUAUCCCGCCUGGGGAGUACGCACGCAAGUGUGAAACUCAAAGGAAUUGACGGGGGCCCGCACAAGCGGUGGAGUAUGUGGUUUAAUUCGAUGCAACGCGAAGAACCUUACCAAGGCUUGACAUCCUGCGAACCUUUCUGAAAGGAGAGAGUGCCUUCGGGAGCGCAGAGACAGGUGGUGCAUGGCUGUCGUCAGCUCGUGUCGUGAGAUGUUGGGUUAAGUCCCGCAACGAGCGCAACCCUCGUUUUAGUUGCCAGCAUUAAGUUGGGCACUCUAGAGAGACUGCCGGUGACAAACCGGAGGAAGGUGAGGAUGACGUCAAGUCAGCAUGCCCCUUACGCCUUGGGCUACACACGUACUACAAUGCUACGGACAAAGGGCAGCUACACAGCGAUGUGAUGCAAAUCUCAUAAACCGUAGCUCAGUUCAGAUCGAAGGCUGCAACUCGCCUUCGUGAAGGAGGAAUCGCUAGUAAUUGCAGGUCAGCAUACUGCAGUGAAUUCGUUCCCGGGCCUUGUACACACCGCCCGUCACACCAUGGAAGUUGGUCACGCCCGAAGUCAUUACCCCAACCGAAAGGAGGGGGAUGCCGAAGGUAGGACUGGUGACUGGGGUGAAGUCGUAACAAGGUA